AGUGGCGGACGGGUGAGUAACGCGUAAGAAUCUAACUUCAGGACGGGGACAACAGUUGGAAACGACUGCUAAUACCCGAUGUGCCGCAAGGUGAAACCUAAUUGGCCCGAAGAAGAGCUUGUGUCUGAUUAGCUAGUUGGUGGGGUAAAGGCCUACCAAGGCGACGAUCAGUAGCUGGUCUGAGAGGAUGAGCAGCCACACUGGGACUGAGACACGGCCCAGACUCCUACGGGAGGCAGCAGUGGGGAAUUUUCCGCAAUGGGCGAAAGCCUGACGGAGCAACGCCGCGUGAGGGAGGAAGGUCUUUGGAUUGUAAACCUCUUUUCUCAAGGAAGAAGUUCUGACGGUACUUGAGGAAUCAGCCUCGGCUAACUCCGUGCCAGCAGCCGCGGUAAUACGGGGGAGGCAAGCGUUAUCCGGAAUUAUUGGGCGUAAAGCGUCCGCAGGUGGUCAGCCAAGUCUGCCGUCAAAUCAGGUUGCUUAACGACCUAAAGGCGGUGGAAACUGGCAGACUAGAGAGCAGUAGGGGUAGCAGGAAUUCCCAGUGUAGCGGUGAAAUGCGUAGAGAUUGGGAAGAACAUCGGUGGCGAAAGCGUGCUACUGGGCUGUAUCUGACACUCAGGGACGAAAGCUAGGGGAGCGAAAGGGAUUAGAUACCCCUGUAGUCCUAGCCGUAAACGAUGGAUACUAGGCGUGGCUU
rnacentral:rRNA from 1 species